rnacentral:snRNA from 1 species
GUGCUCACUUCGGCAGCACAUGUACUAAAAUUGGAACACAGAAGAUUAGUAUGGCCCCCGUGCAAGGAUGACACGCAAAUUUGUGAAGUGUACCAUAUUUUU